AAAUAUAGUUACUUUAAGAAAUAAAAAUAUUUAAUAUAACUAAUUUAAAUUCGACCAAUCAUAAAUUUAAAACUUUAACAUUUAAUAAGUGGAUAAUCAACCAAAUUCUUAAAAAACACAAAACAACAAAUACAUAGUAGGGUCAUUUCUGUCAUUCCGCUUUGGUUACACCGUUCUUCUUCCCCUUGCUUCCGCUGUGCAUCCGCACUUAGACAAGGAGUCCAGCUGCGCCUGCGCAUCAUCUAGGCUUUAUAUUAAUCUUCCACAGUUCCACUUCCAUUUCCAUCAGUAUCCAAAUGACCAAAAUACCCUUGCAUUUUUGUACAGACCAAGCAGCAGACACGGCUGAAUCCCUUUUAGUUACAUUACAGGCAAAGGCAAAGUAAACGCAGACUGGCCAAGAAAAAGUUAAAGAAAAAGAGAUUACUUUUCAAAAUAUUUAUUUUUUUAAUUAUUUUCUACUUUCCUUUGAACACGUCUCUGUAACGCAAGAGAGAGUCCAGUCUCUGCAACUUCAAUUGCUGCUUA
rnacentral:misc_RNA from 1 species